rnacentral:rRNA from 1 species
AACGAACGCUGGCGGCAUGCCUAACACAUGCAAGUCGAACGAGACCUUCGGGCUUAGUGGCGCACGGGUGCGUAACGCGUGGGAAGCUGCCCUUAGGUUCGGAAUAACUCCCCGAAAGGGGUGCUAAUACCGGAUAAGGUUUUCGGACCAAAGAUGUUUGGCUUCUGGAUGGGGGCGGGUUGGCUUAGCUGGUUGGUAGGGUAAUAGCCUACCAAUGGGACGUUGCAUAGCUGGUCUGAGAGGAUGACCCGCCGCGCUGGGACUGAGACACGGCCCAGAAUCCUACGGAAGGGAGCAGUGGGGAAUAUUGGACGAUGGGCGAAGGCCCGAUACAGCAGUGCCGGGUAAGUGGUGAAGGCCUUAGGGUUGUAAAGCUCUUUUACCCGGGAUGAUAAUGACGGUACCGGGUGAAUAAGCACCGGCUAACUCCGUG